GACGAACGCUGGCGGCGUGCUUAACACAUGCAAGUCGAACGGAAAGGCCCUGCUUUUGUGGGGUGCUCGAGUGGCGAACGGGUGAGUAACACGUGAGUAACCUGCCCUUGACUUUGGGAUAACUUCAGGAAACUGGGGCUAAUACCGGAUAGGAGCUCCUGCUGCACGGUGGGGGUUGGAAAGUUUCGGCGGUGGGGGAUGGACUCGCGGCUUAUCAGCUGGUUGGUGGGGUAGUGGCUUACCAAGGCUUUGACGGGUAGCCGGCCUGAUAGGGUGACCGGCCACAUUGGGACUGAGGUACGGCCCAGACUCCUACGGGAGGCAGCAGUGGGGAAUCUUGCACAAUGGGCGGAAGCCUGAUGCAGCAACGCCGCGUGCGGGAUGACGGCCUUCGGGUUGUAAACCGCUUUCGCCUGUGACGAAGCGUGAGUGACGGUAAUGGGUAAAGAAGCACCGGCUAACUACGUG
rnacentral:rRNA from 1 species